rnacentral:lncRNA from 1 species
UUGACAUGAUCUCUCAAACGUCUUCAAGCUUAAUACCAAGGGGUCGAAAGCAAAAUAAGCUACCCCUUAUAAAAAGGUGCUUGAAGAGGAUCCAAUGAAUAAAAUGAAGGCUACUCCUAGCAACCCAAAGGGGAAGUUAGAGGUAAAGGGAUCUCCAAACCCUUCCCAAAAAAUUCUUGACACUUGUCCUCACUUCAAUAAAAUUGAGAGGAGUAAAAGUGUGAUAUGUGACAACUCUAGACUGAAAAAAAAGAGAGGUUGUGACGUGUGAGAGGGUUUUUCACUACUUAUACUAACUUUUGUAACCUGUCUUUCUUUUCUAGUUAUGUUUAUUCUUGUGUAAGUACCCUUGGAAGCAAGCUUAAUGAGACGCCUCGAUCAAUGAAGAAUUAUAAGGCACAAAAAAUCUUCUCAAAAGAAUAUUUAUGCUCCAAUGUUGAAAACAAGGUGAAGAUAAUCAUUCAUGUGAGCUCCGUGAUAAUAAUUAAGCUUUUCACUUUGUUGAAAGUAAAAGAUCAUUGUGAGUUAGUAGCCAAUUGAGUAUUUAAAUGAUGACUUGUUUUCAUGUGAGCUUAAUAAUUCUUUUCCACAAAGAGAUAAUGUAAUUAUUGAGAGUGUUCAUACACUAGUUGAUCCUAUUAAUAACCAAUUAAUUCUUCCUAUAAGAUUAAUUUGUGUCUACCUAGUGUUCAUACUUGUGCCUUAAAUAUAGUACAUUAUCAUGUGAUUCUUUUUCAUAUUUUGUUAAUGUGGAUACACUAGAUGAUCCCAUUGAUUGAUAAUCGAGUUAUCAUAUUAUAGAUUCAAUUUAAUUUCUCGUGCAUUUGAUUGAGUUCUCCUUGUCCCUUGGUUUAAUUGUUGUUCAAUUGAACCUUUCUUUCUUUAGUUUUCAUCUCUUAUUUCUCAACCAUUCUUUAAUUUUGUUAUUUAAUUUCGUGUUCUGAUAUCGAUUUUAGUCACCUCUGACUAGGAUCUUAUCACUACUCCUUGAUGACUAACGACAAACAAUAAAUCUCUUUCUUUGUUUCACUUUCAUAUUGCAUAGGCUUCACUGACCUAAAAAGUCUCGGCGGUGAAGAGUUCCUCGGUAGCAUUUAGCAGACGGAGAAUCAAAGGAGGAGAAAAGGAGUGAAAUUAGGAAUGUUGCAGCAAAAGAUACAAUCCCUAAUUUUAAAAGUGGGGGUGAUGUACCUACUCUGAAGAUACACAGGGUCUUAAUAAGAUAGGCGAUAUUUUGUAAUUAUUCUAAAGUUCUGAGUUAUUAUGCAGUUAUGUUUGUGGUUUUGGUCAAUUAACCUUUCUUUAUGUAUUAGAAAUUGUUAGCCGUAACCUACUAUGCCCAGAAAUAUUAAUCCUAACCUGUUAGAUCAAUAAUUAUCAUAAUGUGGAAAUUACCAUAUUCUAGGAUUAUCAUACUU